rnacentral:rRNA from 1 species
UACGUAGGGCGCAAGCGUUGUCCGGAAUUACUGGGCGUAAAGCGCGUGUAGGCUGCUCAGAAAGUCGGAUGUGAAAGCCCUGGGCUUAACCUAGGAAGUGCAUUCGAAACUUCUGAGCUUGAGUUCUGGAGAGGAAGGCGGAAUUCUCGGUGUAGAGGUGAAAUUCGUAGAUAUCGAGAGGAACACCGGUGGCGAAGGCGGCCUUCUGGACAGUGACUGACGCUGAGACGCGAAAGCGUGGGGAGCAAACAGG